rnacentral:misc_RNA from 1 species
GGUGAAGAACGUAGCGAAAUGCGAUACUUGGUGUGAAUUGCAGAAUCCCGUGAACCAUCGAGUCUUUGAACGCAAGUUGCGCCCGAAGCCAUUAGGCCGAGGGCACGCCUGCCUGGGCGUCACACGUCGUUGCCCCCCCAUCUACUCCUUCGGGAUUGCGGGGGGCGGAUGAUGGCCUCCCGUGCGCCUCGUCGCGCGGUUGGCCUAAAUGCCAAGUCCUCGGCGACGCACGCCACGACAAUCGGUGGUUGCGAAACCUCGGUUGCCCGUCGUGUGCGGUCGUCGCGCAUCGAGGGCUCGAAAAAAUUGCCGGGCUUCGGCUCGACUUUCAACGCGACCCCAGGUCAGGCGGGGUUACCCGCUGAAUUUAAGCAUAUCAAUAAGCGGAGGA